UAUUGGGCGUAAGGGCUCGCAGGCGGUUUCUUAAGUCUGAUGUGAAAGCCCCCGGCUCAACCGGGGAGGGUCAUUGGAAACUGGGGAACUUGAGUGCAGAAGAGGAGAGUGGAAUUCCACGUGUAGCGGUGAAAUGCGUAGAGAUGUGGAGGAACACCAGUGGCGAAGGCGACUCUCUGGUCUGUAACUGACGCUGAGGAGCGAAAGCGUGGGGAGCGAACAGGAUUAGAUACCCUGGUAGUCCACGCCGUAAACGAUGAGUGCUAAGUGUUAGGGGGUUUCCGCCCCUUAGUGCUGCAGCUAACGCAUUAAGCACUCCGCCUGGGGAGUACGGUCGCAAGACUGAAACUCAAAGGAAUUGACGGGGGCCCGCACAAGCGGUGGAGCAUGUGGUUUAAUUCGAAGCAACGCGAAGAACCUUACCAGGUCUUGACAUCCUCUGACAAUCCUAGAGAUAGGACGUCCCCUUCGGGGGCAGAGUGACAGGUGGUGCAUGGUUGUCGUCAGCUCGUGUCGUGAGAUGUUGGGUUAAGUCCCGCAACGAGCGCAACCCUUGAUCUUAGUUGCCAGCAUUCAGUUGGGCACUCUAAGGUGACUGCCGGUGACAAACCGGAGGAAGGUGGGGAUGACGUCAAAUCAUCAUGCCCCUUAUGACCUGGGCUACACACGUGCUACAAUGGACAGAACAAAGGGCAGCGAAACCGCGAGGUUAAGCCAAUCCCACAAAUCUGUUCUCAGUUCGGAUCGCAGUCUGCAACUCGACUGCGUGAAGCUGGAAUCGCUAGUAAUCGCGGAUCAGCAUGCCGCG
rnacentral:rRNA from 1 species